rnacentral:rRNA from 1 species
GACGAGGGAUCCUAGCGUUGUUCGGAAUCAUUGGGCGUAAAGCGGGUGCAGGUGGCUUGAUAAGUCAGGUGUGAAAUCCCAGGGCUCAACCCUGGACGUGCAUUUGAUACUGUCGAGCUUGAGUGUGGGAGAGGCUACUAGAAUGCUUAGUGUAGUGGUGAAAUACGUAGAUAUUAAGCGGAACACCGGUGGCGAAGGCGGGUAGCUGGCCCAACACUGACACUCAGACCCGAAAGCGUGGGGAUCAAACAGG